CACCGGCUGGCACUCAAUCCACUGAGCCACACCAGCCAGGGCUGAUUUAUUUUUUAGAAUUUGGCAUUCUUAAUGACUGAGUGAUGACAAAGUUUCUUUGCAUAAAUCCAAUAAGGUCUGCUUCCAACUGCGGUUUUAUUAACUAAGAUUUUGACUGGAAUGUCAUGCCUGAAGGAGACAUUUCUGGACUCUGGAUGUCACCAGAAAUCCUUGAGGAAUGGCGAUUGACUUUUGAAGCUAACAAAAGCCCACUGGAGAAAUAGCCUGGUACCUUGUUUGGUCAUGCGGUUCAUGGCAGUCUUUCCAGGGUGUAUGCCUUCUAACCUUCUUGGCAAAUUUGUAACCUCUAGAACACAGUAAGGAUGACAACUUGUCCAGCAAUGCCAUCUUUUGGACAUCACUUACCCCACUUCCUAAGGACAGCCAACUGACCUGGACUUUGCAGGAUCCUUCUCCCUCACAUAAAGGCCUCCCUUCAUUCCUGACCCCUCCUCUUUUUGUUAAAAAUCUCUGGACCCAGACAUAGGGAGAUCUAUGACCUUGGCCAACAGGAAGUAGUUACAGAAGAAUGAGACCAUUGUCCAUUUCCCCUUGUAAGA